AUACGUAGGGUGCGAGCGUUAAUCGGAAUUACUGGGCGUAAAGGGCGCGUAGGCGGUUUUGCAAGUCAGAUGUGAAAGCCCCGGGCUUAACUCGGGAAUUGCAUCUGAAACUGCUUAACUUGAGUCCUGGAUGGGGUAGUGGAAUUCCCAGUGUAGCGGUGAAAUGCGUAGAUAUUGGGAGGAACACCUGCGGCGAAGGCGGCUACCUGGACAGUGACUGACGCUGAGGCGCGAAAGCUAGGGGAGC
rnacentral:rRNA from 1 species